rnacentral:rRNA from 1 species
CACCGCGGUUAGACGUGUAGGCCCUAGUUGAUAAUAUAACGGCAUAAAGGGUGGUUAGGGGACAAAACAAAAUAAAGCCAAAUGGCCCUUCGGCCGUUAUACGCUUUCUAGGCGUCUGAGGCCCACCACACGAAAGUAGCUUUAAUUAAAUUUACCGACUCCACGAAAGCUAAGGAA